UUUUCAUGUGACAUUUCAGUUGUUAGUUUUCACUCAAUUUAUUUUUAAUAUUUCUGAUCAAACAUAAAAUGAACUCAGUUGAAACGGUUUUUACUGAUUGACAUUUUGACCAAAAUCUUGUUUUUAUAAUACACAAGUCCUUUUGAAAUGUUUCUCUGAGACAAAAUAUUAUAGCUAGUGACUGUCUGUGUCUGUAUACACAUUAUAUAUAAAUGUUAUCCACAAAAGCAUUUUAAUAAUUUUUGGUCUAAUUCAAAAUAUAUGUCCCUGUGUAAUUUGGACAGAUAACUGCACCACACUACCAAACAACUUCACAUGUUCGAACACACUAUUUUCACUGGCCUUUCAUAUAUUCUUAAUAUUAUGAAAGCUAUGUCUAGGUGACCUGGUUUUCCAUCUUCAGAACUAUAAAUAUCUAAGCUAUAGUUGCUCUGCAGGGCAGAGUAUGUUGCACAAUAUAAACACUUUUCUUAUAUUGGUUCACUUGUUUUGAUUACCUGCAUCUUAGAUUGUAUUUGGAAAGCCAUCUUCCUAAUAGAUAAACUUUUAUUUAUAGAAAAAUCUUCAUAAAUCGUCCCCACUGUCAUAUUGUGCUCUUGUGCUUUUUCUACUGAUACUAUUAGGAGUUCUAUUUUUCAGAAUUGUUUGGUAGAAUGCCAUCUUAUUUCACCCACCUCCUGCUUCUUUUCACCAGAACUAUUUAUUUCAUUAGACCUGUUAUCAAAACAGAGGUGGCCCCUUCUCUCCCAUGUAUUGUGAUCUCACUAUACAUUAACCUUCAAACUCUAAAUCUCAUUAACAAUGCCUGUUUCCCUCACUUCUCUUCUUUUCGAUUCAAGAAUGGUAGAAUGAUGAUAUAGAUAAAACAGUUCCUUCUUAAAUACAGUGACAAAAAA